GGGUGAUUAGUCUCAGUUGGUAGAGCGCUGCCUUCACACGGCAGAGGUCACUGGUUCGAGUCCAGUAUCACCCACCA
rnacentral:tRNA from 3 species